AGACGAAGGGGUAGCAAUACCCUGCUCAACAACUAAAGCUUUUAAUAUAGCCGAGGUUAUGAAACAUAGUUAUUACCAGUUUGUUUGCUUAGUUAGGUUGCUAACGAAACUAAAACAUUUAGGCUAACAUUCUCUUCUUAUCGGGAAAUUGGUGUCUUGUUAGAAUUUCCAAUUGCGCAGAACGAGACGACCUAAAGGCUUGUCAUGAUGAGAUUAAUUUGAAUGACAUGAGUAGUGGCUGAAACAUGGAAAAACAAGUCAACACAAAACAGGACGGCAGUCUAAAGGGGCAAAGCUCAUAUCAUCAUGAGAGGCCUCCAUCACCUGUGCCCACGUGUGUGUCCAUGAAGAGUGACAAGUCACAGGGUCGUGGGAUAAACUUCAAAGAUGAUGAUGUCACAGAUGAAUCAAG